CUCGGUGCCCUGGAGGACCUGGCCGGCUCCGCGGGAAGCUGUACUCAGAGCGCGCGGCCGCCCUCUGGCAGGGAGGAGUUCGUUGCACUUUUGAGGGUUCUUCACGAAGACAUCCAAUACAUAGAAAACAAGUAACAGCAACAGUAACGAAUUUUUAAAUAUUAAAAUUGCUGGGGAACACGACGGAUCCUGCAGCUGCUCGGCUGUCCCGGUCGUCAGUGACGCUAGGGCUCCGCACCGUACCCUGCAUACCGUAGGUGCUCACGAAACGUUCGUGAGUUCCCUGCUCUGAGGAAACAAGCUUAAAAACUCAGAAUCUAAGGUGUGAGUCUCCGCAAACCUGCUUGUUGGGCAGCGUCCCCCGCCCGGGCUAGCCCUGCACGCCCCACCCCGGAGCCACGCUUCUCCAGCCGGGACCCCUGCCUCCUUCCAGGCUAUUCUCGGAACCGCAGCCAGAGGGAAUUUUUUUUUCCUUUCCUGAAACGUAGAGCAGAUCUGGUUACUCUUCUGCACAACGCCCUAAAAUCUAGGGCCCUUCCCAUCCCUCAGAAUUUACAUCUAAUUCUCAGCUCCCCUCCGGCUUGCUGUAGCCAUCCUGGCUUUUGUUUAGCACAGCACUUACUGUUAGUGACAUUAUAUUGUAUAUUAUUAACAUAUUUGUGUUUUACAUCCCUCACUAGACCCCCAGGAAAGAGGCUUUGAUGUGUUGCCUGCUGCAAGGCUGGCUGCAUAAUUUGUGGAGCUCAGAGAAAAGUGCGGAGCUUCCUUGUUCAAAAAACAGAAAGAAAGUGCCUCUGAGGUCAUAAAAUAUAAAACUUUCUCUUUCCUCUCAGUUUCUCUCUUUUCAUAGUGUUUUUAUGUGUUAUUUAAUAUCAUUCCAAGAAAAAUUUAGAUUUAAAUUGUUAGCAUGAAGUUCACCAUCCAUCUUUACGUUGUGCAAUGCCAGUUUUAAAUACUAAUAUAAGUGCACUGAUCUCAUAUGUGGAAUCACAGAAAUUAUGCAAUUUGUACUUCAUAGCUUAUACAUGCAUAUAGAUUUUGUUUUUACCAGAACCACGCUGGUAAAAACAGAUGCUGCACAAAGUGAACUUGCCCGUUUUCAUCGCACUUUACGUGCACGAAUUCUACCUCUACUCUCGACCUGGGACUCACCGAUGCGUAAGGAAGGACUGAAAAGCAAAAGAACUAUGGACUGGCCUUUUGGCAUGAUCAGGUGUCUAAUAUAAAGAAGUGCAUGAAUAAGAAAAUAUAUGAUAUGAGUGAUGGUUAAUACUGACUGUCAACUUGAUUGGAUUGAAGGAUGCAAAGUAUUGAUCCUGGGUGUGUCUGUGAGGGUGUUGCCAAAGGAGAUUAACAUUUGAGUCAGUGGGCUGGGAAAGUUCGACCCACUGUUAAUCUAGAUGGACACCAUCUAAUCAGAUGCCAGUGCAGCUAGAAAUGUAAAGCAGACAGAAAAAUGCGAAAAGAGAGACUGGCCUAGCCUGCCAGCCUACAUCUUUCUCCCACGCUGGAUGCUUCCUGCCCUCGAACAUCAGACUCCAAGUUCUUCAGUUUGGGACUUGGACUGGCUCUCCUUGUUCCUCAGCUUGAAGACUGCCCAUUGUGGGACUUGUGAUCAUGUGAGUUAAUACUUAAUAAACUCCUCUCUCUCUCUCUAUAUAUAUAUAUAUAAAUAUAUAUAUCCUAUUAGUUCUGUCCCUCUAGAGAACCAUGACUCAUACAAUAUGGUUUCUUCAUGCUUCUUAAGACACCAUUGCCUUCUUUCUGCCUUCGAAACAAGUUUACUCUCUUAAGGGGAAAAGUGCGGCCUUUUGGGGUGUCAGCACCCAGCUCCCUCAGUUGUAGAUACAGCACGAGUACCUUGUGCUCACUUUGAGUCUUGCUGGCCUCGCAACAUCAGGGGUCCACAGGGAAUUCAGUGUGCAUGGUGCAUUAUGAAUGCUGUAUGGAACAUCAGUGGCCACACGUAGAGGCCCGUUUCCCUGGCUCAUGCUCCAUUGUCUUAAUGGACCUCACUUACAAACCACAAGUUUACAGAUAAAAU
rnacentral:lncRNA from 10 species